rnacentral:rRNA from 1 species
GACGAACGCUGGCGGUGGGCUUAACACAUGCAAGUCGAACGGCAAGGCCCUGCUUUUGUGGGGUGCUCGAGUGGCGAACGCGUGAGUAACACGUGAGUAACCUGCUCUUGACUUUGGGAUAACUUCAGGAAACUGGGGCUAAUACCGGAUAGGAGAUCCCGCUGCAUGGAGGGGGUUGGAAAGUCUAGGCCGUCGGGGAUGGACUCGCCGGUUAACAGCUUGCUGGUGGGGUAGUGGUUUACCAAGGCAUUGACGGGUAGCCGGCCUGAGAGGGUGACCGGCCACAUUGGGACUGAGAUACGGCGCAGACUCCUACGGUGGACAGCAGUGGGGAGUCUUGCACAAUGGGCGGGCGCCUGAUGCAGCGACGCCGCGGGCGUAAUGACGUCCUUCGGGUUGUAAACCGCUGUCGCCUGUGACCAAGCGUGAGUGACGGUAAUGAAUGAAGAAGCACCGGCUAACUACGUG